rnacentral:rRNA from 1 species
UACGUAGGGUGCGAGCGUUAAUCGGAAUUACUGGGCGUAAAGCGUGCGCAGGCGGUGAUGUAAGACAGAUGUGAAAUCCCCGGGCUCAACCUGGGACCUGCAUUUGUGACUGCAUCGCUCGAGGGGGAUAGGGGUCUGCGGAACUACCGGUGGAGCGGUGAAAUGUGUUGAUAUCGGUGGGAACGCCAGUGGCGAAAGCGGCAGACUUGACCCUUCCUGACGCUGAGGCGCGAAAGCUAGGGGAGCAAACGGG